rnacentral:rRNA from 2 species
UGUAACGGGGCUAAACCAUGCACCGAAGCUGCGGCAGCGAACGUAUCACCCAAGACAACUUUACGGAGUUGACGAUUGACGGAGCGAAGCGACGUCAAAGCGUUCAUUAAAGUCGAGUUGGCUUAGGGAUACGUUCGUUGGGUAGGGGAGCGUUCUGUAAGCCUGUGAAGGUGUGUCGUGAGGCAUGCUGGAGGUAUCAGAAGUGCGAAUGCUGACAUAAGUAACGAUAAAGCGGGUGAAAAGCCCGCUCGCCGGAAGACCAAGGGUUCCUGUCCAACGUUAAUCGGGGCAGGGUGAGUCGACCCCUAAGGCGAGGCCGAAAGGCGUAGUCGAUGGGAAACGGGUUAAUAUUCCCGUACUUGGUGUUACUGCGAAGGGGGGACGGAGAAGGCUAUGUUGGCCGGGCGACGGUUGUCCCGGUUUAAGCGUGUAGGUGUGUGUUCCAGGUAAAUCCGGUUCACUUUAACACUGAGGCGUGACGACGAGGCACUACGGUGCUGAAGCAACAAAUGCCCUGCUUCCAGGAAAAGCCUCUAAGCAUCAGGUAACAC